AAACUAACAGAUUUACUUCGGUAAUGACGUUAGGAAAGCGAGCGGCGGAUGGGUGAGUAACACGUGGGGAACCUGCCCCAUAGUCUGGGAUACCACUUGGAAACAGGUGCUAAUACCGGAUAAGAAAGCAGAUCGCAUGAUCAGCUUUUAAAAGGCGGCGUAAGCUGUCGCUAUGGGAUGGCCCCGCGGUGCAUUAGCUAGUUGGUAAGGUAAAGGCUUACCAAGGCGAUGAUGCAUAGCCGAGUUGAGAGACUGAUCGGCCACAUUGGGACUGAGACACGGCCCAAACUCCUACCGGAGGCAGCAGUAGGGAAUCUUCCACAAUGGACGCAAGUCUGAUGGAGCAACGCCGCGUGAGUGAAGAAGGUUUUCGGAUCGUAAAGCUCUGUUGUUGGUGAA
rnacentral:rRNA from 1 species